AACGUAGGUGGCGAGCGUUAUCCGGAUUUACUGGGCGUAAAGGGUGUGCAGGCGGGCUGUUAAGUGGUGCAUGAAAUCUCCGCGCUUAACGUGGAGAGGCUGUGCCAGACUGCAGUCUCGAGUACGUGAGAGGGUUGUGGAAUUCCGGGUGUAGCGGUGAAAUGCGCAGAUAUCAGGAGGAACACCAAUGGCGAAGGCAGCACUCUGGGACGUGACUGACGCUGAGACGCGAAAGCGUGGGGAGCAAACAGG
rnacentral:rRNA from 1 species